GUAGUAGGGAAGGAUCUCUUGCUGGAGAUGCCCCCCCCCUCUGCCCUCUUCUGGAGUUUUCCUCCUGAGCCUAGAUGUUUAGAGAUGGCUUUUUUGAAAGUUGACUCGGGAGCCUGAAGUUAAUAUCUUUUCCAGUUCUUUGAAGCAAAUUAUUUGCCGGAUUUAAACCACAUCAGGUUUUCACUGUGAUUCACUUAUAAGGAUAUUUUCUACUUUUGUUUCUGAUGCUCUUCAACUCAGCUGCCAAAUGGGGACUGAAGUUUUACUGGAAGAGCAAUCCUAGUGAGAAAAUGGCGUUUAGAAGUCUAUCUGCAGACAGAGACAGAGAACGGACUUUGUUCAGAUAACAGAAAGCAAGUGUCUGGAGACUGCUAUGGUAACUUGCAGCACUGGAGGAGAAGAGUGCUGCUAUGACAGCCUCAUGCAAAGUAGAGCCAACUGCACAGCCUUCCCCCCCAUGCUGCAGCUGUGUCCAGACCUAACAGAGAGCAAUAGCUGAAGUUCUGGAAGGCCAUUUCUGCUCUUUUCGGUCCUGGCUUCAUAAUUUAUAUUUCAGAUGUGACCAGAGAUGGUUAUUUCAUUCAUGGAUGUUAACAA